rnacentral:rRNA from 1 species
UAGUAACGGCGAGUGAAGCGGUAGAAGCUCAAAUUUGAAAUCUGGCUCUCUUGGGAGUCCGAGUUGUAAUUUGUAGAGGAUGCUUUUGGCGAGGUGCCUUCCGAGUUCCCUGGAACGGGACGCCUUAGAGGGUGAGAGCCCCGUACGGUUGGAUGCCGAGCCUCUGUAAAGCUCCUUCGACGAGUCGAGUAGUUUGGGAAUGCUGCUCUAAAUGGGAGGUAAAUUUCUUCUAAAGCUAAAUAUUGGCCAGAGACCGAUAGCGCACAAGUAGAGUGAUCGAAAGAUGAAAAGUACUUUGAAAAGAGGGUUAAAUAGUACGUGAAAUUGUUGAAAGGGAAGCGUUUAUGACCAGACUUUGUCGUGGUGGAUCAUCCGGUGGUUUCCACCGGUGCGCUCUACCGCGACGAGGCCAGCAUCGGUUUCCGCAGGGGGAUAAAAGCCUGGGGAACGUAGCUCCCUCGGGAGUGUUAUAGCCCCUCGCAUAAUACCCUUGCGGGGACCGAGGACCGCGUAUUUAUACAAGGAUGCUGGCAUAAUGGUUAUUAACGACCCGUCUUGAAACACGGACCAAGGAGUCGAACAUUUGUGCGAGUAUUUGGGUGUUAAACCCCUAUGCGCAAUGAAGGUGAACGGAGGUAAGAGCCCCGUACGGGGUGCAUUAUCGACCGAUCCAGAUGUUUUCGGAUGGAUUUGAGUAAGAGCAUAGAUGUUCGGACCCGAAAGAUGGUGAACUAUGCGUGGAUAGGGUGAAGCCAGAGGAAACUCUGGUGGAGGCUCGCAGCGGUUCUGACGUGCAAAUCGAUCGUCAAAUCUGCGCAUGGGGGCGAAAGACUUAUCGAACCAUCUAGUAGCUGGUUACCGCCGAAGUUUCCCUCAGGAUAGCAGUGUUGUUCUUCAGUUUUAUGAGGUAAAGCGAAUGAUUAGGGACUCGGGGGCGCUUUUUAGCCUUCAUCCAUUCUCAAACUUUAAAUAUGUAAGAAGCCCUUGUUACUUAAUUGAACGUGGGCAUUUGAAUGUACCAACACUAGUGGGCCAUUUUUGGUAAGCAGAACUGGCGAUGCGGGAUGAACCGAACGCGGGGUUAAGGUGCCGGAGUGGACGCUCAUCAGACCCCCCAAAAGGUGUUAGCCCUUUUGACAAUAGGACGGUGGCCUGGGAAGUCGGAAUCCGCUAAGGACUGUGUAACACUCACCUAU